GCUAGCUCAGUUGGUAGAGUAUGAGACUCUUAAUCUCAGGGUUAUGGGUUCAGGCCCCAUGCA
rnacentral:tRNA from 1 species